UUGCUAGAGAGGAAAGUGGCGGACGGGUGAGUAAUAUGUAGAGAAUCUGCCCUUGAGAGGGGGACAACAGCUGGAAACGGUUGCUAAUACCCCAUAUGAGCGUACCUGAGAUGGUAUUCUUGAAAACUCUGGUGCUCAAGGAUGAGUCUGCAUCUGAUUAGCUAGUUGGCGGGGUAAUGGCCCACCAAGGCGACGGUCAGUAGCUGGUUUGAGAGGAUGAUCAGCCACAAUGGGACUGAGACACGGCCCAUACUCC
rnacentral:rRNA from 1 species